rnacentral:rRNA from 1 species
UACGUAGGGUGCGAACGUUAUUCGGAAUCACUGGGCUUAAAGGGUGCGUAGGCGGCGAUUCAAGUCAGAUGUGAAAUGCCUGAGCUCAACUGAGGCAUUGCGUUUGAAACUGAAUUGCUAGAGUAUCCUAGGGGUGUGCGGAACUGCCAGUGGAACGGUGAAAUGUGUUGAUAUUGGCAGGAACACCGGAGGCGAAAGCGGCACACUGGGGGAUAACUGACGCUGAGGCACGAAAGCCAAGGGAGCGAACGGG